AAAAAAAUAACUAUGUUAAAUAGGACGAACGAAGGGAGUAGUAGAUCACUCACCCUCCCAUUCUCAUCUCCCUCUCUGCGUCUGACUCUUGCUCUAAUCCUCCAUCUCAUUAUAGUCGCAGAUACUAGAAAAAGGCAUUUAGAGCUGUUAUCUUGUUUGUAGGAUGUUGAAGACAUCUCUGGGUCCUUACAGAGGAAGUGCUCUUGCUGUGCCUUCAGAGUUCUCUGUCAAGUUGUCAUCUGCACUUGUGAGAGCUACAAGACCAAUCCAUCUGAAAGCAUUCGGGGUAAGAAUGGAGCUUUUGAUCACACAACCUGAUGACUGGCAUCUCCAUCUUCGUGAUGGGGAGCUUCUUGAAGCAGUUGCCCCCCACAGUUCACAACACUUUGGGAGAGCCAUAGUCAUGCCGAAUCUGAGACCUCCAGUCACCACCACUGCUGCAGCUAUAGCCUACCGACAAUCAAUUUUGAAUGCUCUGCCGAAAGACAGUGACUUCACUCCUUUGAUGACACUUUAUUUGACAGACACUACGAGCCCUGAUGAGAUUAAGUUAGCAAGAGAGAGUGGAGUUGUAUAUGCCGUGAAAUUGUAUCCUGCUGGUGCUACUACAAAUUCUCAAGAUGGUGUGACCGAUCUAUUCGGGAAGUGUUUGCCUGUACUCGAGGAAAUGGUUCAGCAAAAUAUGCCUUUGUUGGUCCAUGGGGAGGUAACAAGUGCAGAUGUUGAUGUUUUUGACCGUGAAAAGGUCUUCAUCGAUACAGUUCUCGUCCCCUUAAUUCAGAAGCUCCCCCGAUUGAAGGUUGUCAUGGAACACAUUACCACUAAGGAUGCUGUAGAUUUUGUUUUGUCUAGUGAUGAAAGAUUUGUAGCAGCAACAGUCACUCCGCAACAUAUUGUCCUUAACAGGAAUUCCCUUUUCCAAGGAGGACUGCAGCCUCACAACUAUUGUCUUCCAGUGCUAAAGAGAGAGAUACAUAGGCAGGCAAUAGCAUCAGCUGUUACAAGUGGAAGCAAAAGGUUUUUCCUUGGAACUGAUAGUGCUCCUCAUGAUAGAAGGAACAAGGAGUGUCCUUGUGGGUGUGCUGGAAUCUACAAUUCUCCUGUGGCCUUGUCAGUGUAUGCAAAGGUUUUUGAAGAGGCCGGUGCGCUGGACAAGUUGGAAGCCUUUAUGAGCUUCAACGGACCAGACUUCUAUGGUCUACCCAGAAACAACUCGAAGCUAACAUUGAGCAAGACCCCGUGGACAGUACCACCAUCCUUUUCUUUCAGAUAUAGGAAAUGGGAUGCUUUGUAUCAACUCCAAAAGACACAGGCGAGAACAGGAGGCGGCCAGCAAACAUCGGGGAGGUUUUUGUGUUUGUUCCAUGCCUAUAGAUCCCUAAACCGGUCAAUUUUGCUCAGUCACUGGGAAAUAAUGUAACUAAAAGUUCCGUGGAACGCCUUUCAGCUCUUAGAAAGAGAAUAGUAGUUAUGUUGGGGCAUGAUCUAUUAACACGAACUAGAAGAACGGCCAGCCAGCACGGGACAUCCAUAUUACGCGAUCUUCUUAAGGCUCUUGCAGAAUAUCUGACGGUCCUUUUGGGGUUGGUUAAAGUUGGCAGUCCGUUGCAACACAGUACAAUUUUCCUGGGUUAAUCAAGAGGAGGUCCAUUUGUACCUUUAAAUCAUACAAUCUUUUCUUUGAAUUUUGAAGAUUGAUUUUAUCUCAUUAUCAAUACAUAUAUAUUGUGCUUGGUAUGAAGUAUUAUCCGUUGUGCACGUUAUGGCGACGCUAUUGUUAUCACAAGCCAAUUUGUUGCUUCUUCCAAGAGAUGAAUUCCAGCCAAAGGUAUCAGAAGGUUAGUGCAUGAGCAAAAGCUUCCUAUUGUUAUCGCUGCAUCUUAGAUGAAGUUUGCAAGGGAUUUGGAAUGUGCUCUUGCUCCAUCUGUUGCAAGAGUAUAUGUAUGUAAAGGAGCAUGCAAGGGAUGCGAGGCAGGCAGCUACAUUUCGUCAUCAGCAGGAGUCAGAUCCAUGGUUGAGAUGCAACCGCUUCUUGAGGGUUUGAAACCAAGAUUCUGUCAAUUACCCCGAUUGCAGCAGUGGAUUUGUCAAGGAAAUCGAGACUCGCAAUAGAUCUUCGAUCUUCGACUCGUCGAUUGCCAGCUGCUGCCAUGUAUAUGAUGUAAAGGCCUGAUUUGCAGCACCGAAAUUCCCCAAACUCCCAAUCGUCAUAUAAUCAUCGAAUGCGCGGGUUAAGGAUAAAACGACAUUGUUUUAUCAUUAGACGGCGCCGUUUCUCUCCUAUAAUAGAACGGCGCCGUAUCCUAGUCAAUGUAAGUUUGCCAUGUAUUAUGCAUCUCAGCUUUGUAUAUUGAUUACAAUUUUAAGAGCCAUGUGAAAUAACCGAUUUUAGCAAAAAGUCGUUGAUUUUACGGCAAUUAACCCUUAUUUUUAUUAUGAUUU